GGCCGAUUGGCGCAAUGGUAGCGCGUGGUCCUCCUAUAUUAAAGUACGAGGGGAAUCAAGACUGAGGUUGUGGGUUCGAGUCCCAUGUCGGUCG